UCCCUCUUUCUCUCUCUUUUUUCUUAUUCAUUGGGCGUAAAGGGCGCGUAGGCGGCGGGGUAAGUCUGGUGUGAAAUCUCGGGGCUCAACUCCGAAAUUGCACUGGAUACUGCUCUGCUAGAGGGCUGGAGAGGAGAUCGGAAUUCACGGUGUAGCAGUGAAAUGCGUAGAUAUCGUGAGGAAGACCAGUGGCGAAGGCGGAUCUCUGGACAGCUCCUGACGCUGAGGCGCGAAGGCUAGGGGAGCAAACGGG
rnacentral:rRNA from 1 species